rnacentral:rRNA from 1 species
UGAGUAACACGUAUCCAACCUGCCGUCUACUCUUGACAGCCUUCUGAAAGGAAGAUUAAUACAAGAUGGCAUCAUGAGUCCGCAUGUUCACAUGAUUAAAGGUAUUCCGGUAGACGAUGGGGAUGCGUUCCAUUAGAUAGUAGGCGGGGUAACGGCCCACCUAGUCUUCGAUGGAUAGGGGUUCUGAGAGGAAGGUCCCCCACAUUGGAACUGAGACACGGCCAA